GUGGGGAAUCUUGCGCAAUGGGGGAAACCCUGACGCAGCGACGCCGCGUGGAGGAUGAAGGUCUUCGGGUUGUAAACUCCUUUUCUCAGGAAAAAUGAUGAUGGUACCUGAGGAAUAAGCCACGGCUAACUCUGUGCCAGCAGCCGCGGUAAGACAGAGGUGGCGAGCGUUGUUCGGAAUUACUGGGCUUAAAGGGCGAGUAGGCGGUAGGGCAAGUCCGAGGUGGAAUCCUAUGGCUUAACCAUAGAAUUGCCUUGGAAACUGCUUUACUUGAGUCAGUGAGGGGAGGGCGGAAUUCCUGGUGUAGCGGUGAAAUGCGUAGAUAUCAGGAGGAAGGCCAGUGGCGAAGGCGGCCCUCUGGCACUGCACUGACGCUGAGGCGCGAAAGCGUGGGGAGCAAACAGGAUUAGAUACCCUUGUAGUCC
rnacentral:rRNA from 1 species